GAUGAACGCUCGCGGCAGGCCUAAUACAUGCAAGUCGAGGGGUAUGGGUUGCUUGCAACCCAGAGACCGGCGCACGGGUGCGUAACGCGUAUGCAAUCUACCUUAAUCAGGGGGAUAGCCCGGAGAAAUCCGGAUUAACACCGCAUAACAUUGAGUUGUGGCAUCACAGUUCACUCUAAUAUUUAUAGGAUUAAGACGAGCAUGCGUGACAUUAGUUAGUUGGUGAGGUAACGGCUCACCAAGACCACGAUGUCUAGGGGAUCUGAGAGGAUGCCCCCCCAGACUGGUACUGAGGCACGGACCAGACUCGGACGGGAGGCAGCAGUAAGGAAUACUGGGCAAGGGGCGCAAGCCUGAACCAGCCAUGCCGCGUGCAGGAAGACGGCCCUAUGGGUUGUAAACUGCUUUUGUACCGGAAUAAACCUUCUCUUGCGAGAGAAGCUGAACGUACGGUAAGAAUAAGGAUCGGCUAACUCCGUG
rnacentral:rRNA from 1 species